UUUAUUAUGAGGUCACUAAUUCCAUCCAUGAGGGCAGUCACUCUCAAAAGGCCUCACCUCCCAAAGGCGCCACCUCCUAAUACAAUCAUCAUGGAUGCCAGGAUUUUAAUAUAUGAAUUUUUAGGAGGAACACAAAAUUCAGUGUAUUGCAACUAAUUUUGCAAAUAUUGGCUGAUUGGCAGUUUCUCCACUUUUAAUGCCAUUCAUUGGCUCAUGCUGCCUAAGGAGUCUUGUGGCUUUUGCUCUUUUUUGCUUUAUCUGCCCAUUUGUCAAUUUUCUGCAAGCCUGGUGGAGACCAAGCAACUCAAUCAGCUCUUCCUCUUCCUAUUGCCCUCAGAGCACCUCCUAGUGGCAAAAAGCAGGCAUUGUAAUCCCAGCAAGGCUUUUGAAAUUUGCUUCUUUCAUCCAUUUAUUUAGUUAUUGCCUGCAAAUGUUUCAACGAUAAUGUAAUGAUCCCUCUGCUGUCCAAAGGUUUGGAGAAUGUUAUGAAAGAACAUUUUUGUUUUUUUCUGUAGCCUCUGCACUGACCUGUAUUUCUGUUCCCAGACCAUGGUUGACCACAGGUAAUUGAAACCCUGGAAGGUGAAACUGCAGAUAAGGAGGACUACAGUGUUCAACUAUUUACAAAUAAUGACAGUGGCCACAAAGAUUACCUUGAAAAGAGACCGUGAGACAGUUUCACACAGACUGUGCCUGGAUUUCCAUGAGUCUCUGCCAACUGCUUUUUAAGAGGUUUGUUGGCAGGAAGUGUCUUGGUUUUCUUGAUGGCAGAGAUAAAGAAAAAAAGAAAAAAAACAAACGUGAAAAAUUCCAAGGAUCAAUUUGCUAUUCAGUUUGGAAAAUAGUUAUUUACAAGAAGCACUGUGGCAUCUACAAGAUCUUGCUACCUCACCCAACUACUCCCUCCCUAAUCCAAAAAAAUGAGAGAAACCCAUUGCAGUCUGUGGUUGGGGUUGAUUAA
rnacentral:lncRNA from 1 species